rnacentral:rRNA from 1 species
UACAGAGGGGGCAAGCGUUGUUCGGAAUUACUGGGCGUAAAGGGCGCGUAGGCGGCCUGUUAAGUCGAACGUGAAAUCCCUGGGCUCAACCCAGGAACUGCGUCCGAUACUGGCAGGCUUGAAUUCGGGAGAGGGAUGUGGAAUUCCAGGUGUAGCGGUGAAAUGCGUAGAUAUCUGGAAGAACACCAGUGGCGAAGGCGGUCAGCUGGCCCGUAACUGACGCUCAGGCACGAAAGCGUGGGGAGCAAACAGG